CUUUUCUUAGGGCCUGCUAUGGUGUUUUGAGAUUCGUCAUGGGAAGUGGUGCCAAGGGUUGUGAGGUUAUUGUGAGUGGAAAGCUUAGGGCAGCUCGUGCAGAGUCAACGAAGUUAAGGACGGAUACAUGAUUUUUUCUGAUUCCUCGAUGUAAAAAGCUGCAGUUCGAAUAACCUACUGAGGCAAGACUACUUCGAAUUGUUUAUAUGGGAUUCACUACACUCUUCUCUAUAGGAAAGAGUGCCAAUAAUCUUUGUGAGUCGUGCAACUAUUUUAAGUCUGGAUGUUCUUACACCAAAAGUCUUCAUUGGGUUACUCGCUGGAGCCGAAAAGGUGUGAAGAGAUUAGAAAACUCAUUCCAACUCUUAAAAAUUAGGGUGUGGGUGUCUGGUUCAAUUUUUUUUUAACUUCUUCUUGUUCUGUUUUCGUGCACCCAAAGAAAAAACUAGGUGCAUCCAUUCUUGAUCUUGGUUGUGCUCUUUAAGUAUGUCUACUUACCUUUUCCUUUCACUUUCUUGCAAUGUUCCCUAUUUUUCUAAAUUCAAUCAUUCCUUGGAUUUUUAGUCAAAUAUACGGUGUUUCGACUCCCCACUUUCUCUCUUUUGGUGCAGUCAAAGACAAAACUAGGUGGAUCAGUUCUUGAUCUUGAUUGUGCUCUUUAGGUAUGUCUGCUGACCUUUUACCUUCUUUUUCUUGUAAUGUUCUCCGUUUUCUGAAUUUUA